UACGUAGGGGGCAAGCGUUGUCCGGAUUUAUUGGGCGUAAAGAGCGUGUAGGCGGCCAUGCAGGUCCGUUGUGAAAACUCGAGGCUCAACCUCGAGACGCCGGUGGAAACCGUAUGGCUAGAGUCCGGAAGAGGAGAGUAGAAUUCCUGGUGUAGCGGUGAAAUGCGCAGAUAUCAGGAGGAACACCAAUUGCGAAGGCAGCUCGCUGGGACGCUACUGACGCUGAGACGCGAAAGCGUGGGGAGCAAACAGG
rnacentral:rRNA from 1 species